rnacentral:lncRNA from 1 species
CUCUGUUCCUAAUUCUAUACCCCUUCCUCCCUUCAAUUUAAUCCAAACCUCGAUGAAAAAAUAAGAUCUAUUUUAUGAGACACACUGCAGGGCAACUGCCGAGACCAGCUCAGCAGGAUGGGGCUGACGAACGGGCGCUGUGAAGCUUAAGGAAAAAAGUUAACAUCAAACAAGACACGGAGACAUAUUUCUUAAGUAAAGGUGGGAACCGGGGGACUCAAGGUCUCAGGGACCAAGAGCCCCCCUCAAGAAACCCCACUGCUUUUAUUGUGCUCUUGAGGAUGAGGUCAAGUGAGGAGGGGGCUAUGGGUGCAGGAUAUGGGGUUUGUUUAUUAUUUUAUAAGUUCUUUUAUUAUUGUAAAAGUCACUUAGCUGGUAGAAGGUUAAGCUUUUACUCUGACCUUUAGGCACAUAACUAUCAUUAGCAUUGGAGUUAGCGAUCUAUGCAGAACAUUCCAGAGAAUCCUCCCUGUGCUUCCGCAAAGGGCACGCCUAUUUGCGGCAACCUGGCGUGCCUAGGUUUGCACCUUGGCUCUCUUUGCUGAUGCAUAUUCUGCUAACGACCGCUCAUAAACCACUUGGCCGUGAGGUUCCUCUUUCUCUUAUCCCUUAGAGGACAACUCGUGCUCGUGCAAACGGUGUGCCAAUCUGCACAGGUCCGGCGUGCCUAGACCAACGCAUUACGUCCUCUUUCAGCUGACCCUUUAUGCCUUUAGGUCUUUGUUCUUAAGCUUAAGUCAUUUACCAGCACUGUGACUGCAGGAAGAUGGGAUAGAGUAAAGCAGGACAAGAUGGAGUUUUCAGCAAAGAGGCUGAGAAAAUAUUGUAGAAAUGUGUCUCGCGACAGGCAACCAAAGCAAAAUGGUUGGUAGCUUUCGGACAUGCAUAUCCUCGGAGGUGGUCUUGGCUGAGUUGUGCUAAUGCCUUCAUACCGACCAGUGGGUCUACUGAUGCUACGGCUCUUGGGCGCGCCCCAGCAGCUGCUCCUUUCAGAUAGAAGCCUUUUGUUGUGCCCACCCAGCCUCCACAGCAGCUUGACCAGGAACUCCCAGGAGGCACACAUGGUCCAGGUCUGCUGCCACAGGGAGAGCCUUUCCCCCGAGAUCAACCAAAACCUGAUUAGACGCCCGAGCCCCAGGCCAGGAGAGCAAGCUCCUUCCACAGCCCAAACAGCAGCAGCUAUGGGGGAAAUUUUACCAUCACAAGAUAUGUCUCUUUGGCAGGAUUAAUUUAGGCUAAUUAUUUGUCAGAAACAGAAGACAGAUGAAGUCUUGUUGUUACCUCCCUGCAACAACCAAAUGAAUUUAGAUACAGGGCUUGUGAGAGACCAGAGUCCACUCGGCAUCUGGACACGUCCGACCUGCCUGGUGUAGCACCUUUGGUAACCAAACACCUGCUUCGCCAUCUGCAGGUCACAGGCCACCCUCUCCUUUCAAGCCCUAAGCCACGCCCUCAGCAUCCUGCCUUGUCUUUAGGGGGGUUUACCAUGACGGCUGCGGCAGUGGCUGCGGUGAUUCCUAGGUCACGGGUCUUUCCACGUGCCCAUGUUGUUACACUUUGGUUAAUUUUCACCUGUUAAUCUGUCUCACGUCAACUAAUUCCUAGGCCACCAAGAAGAACCUAGAAGGGCAGGGGGAAAUAUCUUGCCUUCAAACCAGCGACAAGCCCAGCCAAUAAGACCAUAGCAGCUCAGCGCUGUGAGCCACUGCCGCCCAAAAGACCCGAUUCCUCCAACAGACGUCCACACAGCCGCCCCUCCCACUGCCUCCUUCCCUGAAAGGUCAUAGCCUGGUUGUUUGCUGAAUCGGAUGCUAGUUUCCUUAUAGCUUGUUUGUCCUGAAUUGCAAUCAUCUGCUCUUCCUAAAAAAACCCAUUUCGUUGGUAAAAUACCUCGCUAUUUUUAAGAGGUCCCAAGUGAGCUGGGUCCGGGCGAGCGAGCUG